rnacentral:rRNA from 1 species
GACGGGUGAGUAACGCGUGGGUAACCUGCCUUGUACUGGGGGAUAACACUUAGAAAUAGGUGCUAAUACCGCAUAAUCAUAAGAUCUCGCAUGAGAAUUUAUGGAAAACUCCGGUGGUACAAGAUGGACCCGCGUCUGAUUAGUUAGUUGGUGGGGUAAUGGCCUACCAAGACGACGAUCAGUAGCCGGCCUGAGAGGGUGACCGGCCACAUUGGGACUGAGACACGGCCCAAACUCCUACGGGAGGCAGCAGUGGGGAAUAUUGCACAAUGGGGGAAACCCUGAUGCAGCGACGCCGCGUGAGUGAAGAAGUAUUUCGGUACGUAAAGCUCUAUCAGCAGGGAAGAAAAUGACGGUACCUGACUAAGAAGCCCCGGCUAACUACGUGCCAGCAGCCGCGGUAAUACGUAGGGGGCAAGCGUUAUCCGGAUUUACUGGGUGUAAAGGGAGCGUAGACGGCAUGGCAAGUCUGAAGUGAAAGCCCGGGGCUCAACCCCGGGACUGCUUUGGAAACUGUCAGGCUAGAGUGCAGGAGAGGUAAGUGGAAUUCCUAGUGUAGCGGUGAAAUGCGUAGAUAUUAGGAGGAACACCAGUGGCGAAGGCGGCUUACUGGACUGUAACUGACGUUGAUGCUCGAAAGCGUGGGGAGCAAACAGGAUUAGAUACCCUGGUAGUCCACGCCGUAAACGAUGAUUACUAGGUGUCGGGGAGUUACAACUCUUCGGUGCCGCAGCUAACGCACUAAGUAUCCACCUGGAGAGUACGUUCGCAAGAAUGAACUCAAAGAAUGACGUAACCGCACAG